GUGAAAACUUUGGCAGCACAUAUACUAAAAUUGGAAUGAUACAGAGAAGAUUAGCAUGGCCCCUGUGCAAG
rnacentral:snRNA from 1 species